UACAGAGACUGCAAGCGUUAUUCGGAUUCACUGGCGUAAAGAGCGCGCAGGCGGUCGUUCAAGUCGAGUGUGAAAGCCCCCGGCUCAACUGGGGAGGGUCACUCGAUACUGAUCGACUCGAAGGCAGGAGAGGGAAGCGGAAUUCCCGGUGUAGUGGUGAAAUGCGUAGAUAUCGGGAGGAACACCAGUGGCGAAGGCGGCUUUCUGGCCUGUUCUUGACGCUGAGGCGCGAAAGCUAGGGUAGCAAACGGG
rnacentral:rRNA from 1 species